GACGAACGCUGGCGGUGUGCUUAACACAUGCAAGUCGAACGGUAAGGCCCUUUCGGGGGUACCCGAGUGGCGAACGGGUGAGUAACACGUGAGUAACCUGCCCUCAUCUCUGGGAUAACAGUCGGAAACGGUUGCUAAUACUGGAUAUGAGCUUGCAAGGCAUCUUGUGGGUUGGAAAGAUUUUUUUUGGUUGGGGAUGGACUCGCGGCCUAUCAGCUUGUUGGUGAGGUAGUGGCUCACCAAGGCUUCGACGGGUAGCCGGCCUGAGAGGGCGACCGGCCACAUUGGGAAUGAGAUACGGCCCAAACUCCUACGGGAGGCAGCAGUGGGGAAUAUUGCACAAUGGACGGAAGUCUGAUGCAGCAACGCCGCGUGCGGGAUGACGGCCUUCGGGUUGUAAACCGCUUUCAAUUGUGACGAAGCUUUUUUGUGACGGUAGCAGUAGAAGAAGCACCGGCUAACUACGUG
rnacentral:rRNA from 1 species